rnacentral:rRNA from 1 species
GCAGCAGCCGCGGUAAUACAGAGGGUGCGAGCGUUAAUCGGAUUUACUGGGCGUAAAGCGUGCGUAGGCGGCUUCUUAAGUCGGAUGUGAAAUCCCUGAGCUUAACUUAGGAAUUGCAUUCGAUACUGGGAAGCUAGAGUAUGGGAGAGGAUGGUAGAAUUCCAGGUGUAGCGGUGAAAUGCGUAGAGAUCUGGAGGAAUACCGAUGGCGAAGGCAGCCAUCUGGCCUAAUACUGACGCUGAGGUACGAAAGCAUGGGGAGCAAACAGGAUUAGAGACCCCUGUAGUCCCUGUCUCUUAUAA